UACGUAGGGUCCGAGCGUUGUCCGGAAUUACUGGGCGUAAAGAGCUCGUAGGUGGUUUGUCGCGUUGUUCGUGAAAACUCACAGCUCAACUGUGGGCGUGCGGGCGAUACGGGCAGACUGGAGUACUGCAGGGGAGACUGGAAUUCCUGGUGUAGCGGUGGGAAUGCGCAGAUAUCAGGAGGAACACCGGUGGCGAAGGCGGGGUCUCUGGGGCCGAUACUGACGCUGAGGUGCGAAAGCGUGGGGGAGCAAACAGG
rnacentral:rRNA from 1 species